AGAGAGAGAGAGAGAGAGAGAGAUGGGUAUAGAUGGUUUAGAGAGAGAGAGAGAGAGAGAGCUGGAGAGAGAGAGAGAGCUGGGUAUAGAUGGUUUAGAGAGAGAGAGAGAGAGCUGGGUAUAGAUGGUUUAGAGAGAGAGAGAGAGAGGGCUGGGUAUAGAUGGUUUAGAGCGAGAGAGAGAGAGAGAGAGAGCUGGGUAUAGAUGGUUUAGAGAGAGAGAGAGAGAGAGCUGGGUAUAGAUGGUUUAGAGCGAGAGAGAGAGAGAGAGAGAGAGAGAGCUGGGUAUAGAUGGUUUAGAGGGAGAGAGAGAGAGAGAGAGAGAGAGAGAGCUGGGUAUAGAUGGUUUAGAGAGAGAGAGAGAGAGAGAGAGAGCUGGGUAUAGAUGGUUUAGAGAGAGAGAGAGAGAGAGAGAGCUGGGUAUAGAUGGUUUAGAGAGAGAGAGAGCUGGGUAUAGAUGGUUUAGAGAGAGAGAGAGAGCUGGGUAUAGAUGGUUUAGAGAGAGAGAGAGCUGGGUAUAGAUGGUUUAGAGAGAGAGAGCUGGGUAUAGAUGGUUUAGAGAGAGAGAGAGAGAGAGAGCUGGGUAUAGAUGGUUUAGAGAGAGAGAGCUGGGUAUAGAUGGUUUAGAGAGAGAGAGAGCUGGGUAUAGAUGGUUUAGAGAGAGAGAGCUGGGUAUAGAUGGUUUAGAGAGAGAGAGAGAGAGAGAGCUGGGUAUAGAUGGUUUAGAGAGAGAGAGAGAGAGAGCUGGGUAUAGAUGGUUUAGAGAGAGAGAGAGAGAGAGAGCUGGGUAUAGAUGGUUUAGAGAGAGAGAGCUGGGUAUAGAUGGUUUAGAGAGAGAGAGCUGGGUAUAGAUGGUUUAGAGAGAGAGAGAGAGCUGGGUAUAGAUGGUUUAGAGAGAGAGAAUGAGAGAGAGCUGGGUAUAGAUGGUUUAGAGAGAGAGAGAGCUGGGUAUAGAUGGUUUAGAGAGAGAGAGAGAGAGCUGGGUAUAGAUGGUUUAGAGAGAGAGAGAGAGCUGGGUAUAGAUGGUUUAGAGAGAGAGAGAGAGCUGGGUAUAGAUGGUUUAGAGAGAGAGAGAUUUGUGAAUCAUUUUCAUUAAGAUUCUACCUACUUUGCACAAGUCAUAUAGAGCAAUAUACACUGAGUAAACAAAACAUUAAGAACACCUGCUCUUUCCAUGACAUAGACUGACCAGGUGAAUCCAGGUGAAAAGCUAUGAUUCCCUUAUUGAUGCCAAGUCUUAAAUCCACUUCAAAUCAGUGCAGAUGAAGGUUAAAUCAUUAUUUUUAAGCCUUGAGACAAUUGAGACAUGGAUUGUGUAUGUGUACCGUUCAGAAGGUGAAUGGUCAAGACAACAAACAAAAUGUAAGUGCCUUUGAACGGGGUAUGGUAGUAGAUACCAGGCGCACCGGUUUGUGUCGAGAACUACAACGCUGCCGGAGUUUUUCCACACUCACCAGUUUCCUGUGUUUAUCAACAAUGGUCCACCACCCAAAGGACAUCCAGCCACCAUUUGGAAGACCAUUCUGGUGUGUCUUUGCCAUUAACAAUAACACUAUUUUUUU
rnacentral:lncRNA from 1 species